rnacentral:rRNA from 1 species
AUGAACGCUAGCUACAGGCUUAACACAUGCAAGUCGAGGGGCAGCAUGGUCUUAGCUUGCUAAGGCCGAUGGCGACCGGCGCACGGGUGAGUAACACGUAUCCAACCUGCCGUCUACUCUUGGACAGCCUUCUGAAAGGAAGAUUAAUACAAGAUGACAUCAUGAGUCCGCAUGUUCACAUGAUUAAAGGUAUUCCGGUAGACGAUGGGGAUGCGUUCCAUUAGAUAGUAGGCGGGGUAACGGCCCACCUAGUCUUCGAUGGAUAGGGGUUCUGAGAGGAAGGUCCCCCACAUUGGAACUGAGACACGGUCCAAACUCCUACGGGAGGCAGCAGUGAGGAAUAUUGGUCAAUGGGCGAGAGCCUGAACCAGCCAAGUAGCGUGAAGGAUGACUGCCCUAUGGGUUGUAAACUUCUUUUAUAAAGGAAUAAAGUCGGGUAUGGAUACCCGUUUGCAUGUACUUUAUGAAUAAGGAUCGGCUAACUCCGUGCCAGCAGCCGCGGUAAUACGGAGGAUUCGAGCGUUAUCCGGAUUUAUUGGGUUUAAAGGGAGCGUAGAUGGAUGUUUAAGUCAGUUGUGAAAGUUUGCGGCUCAACCGUAAAAUUGCAGUUGAUACUGGAUAUCUUGAGUGCAGUUGAGGCAGGCGGAAUUCGUGGUGUAGCGGUGAAAUGCUUAGAUAUCACGAAGAACUCCGAUUGCGAAGGCAGCCUGCUAAGCUGCAACUGACGUUGAGGCUCGAAAGUGUGGGUAUCAAACAGGAUUAGAUACCCUGGUAGUCCACACGGUAAACGAUGAAUACUCGCUGUUUGCGAUAUACGGCAAGCGGCCAAGCGAAAGCGUUAAGUAUUCCACCUGGGGAGUACGCCGGCAACGGUGAAACUCAAAGGAAUUGACGGGGGCCCGCACAAGCGGAGGAACAUGUGGUUUAAUUCGAUGAUACGCGAGGAACCUUACCCGGGCUUAAAUUGCAGAUGAAUUACGGUGAAAGCCGUAAGCCGCAAGGCAUCUGUGAAGGUGCUGCAUGGUUGUCGUCAGCUCGUGCCGUGAGGUGUCGGCUUAAGUGCCAUAACGAGCGCAACCCUUGUUGUCAGUUACUAACAGGUUCUGCUGAGGACUCUGACAAGACUGCCAUCGUAAGAUGUGAGGAAGGUGGGGAUGACGUCAAAUCAGCACGGCCCUUACGUCCGGGGCUACACACGUGUUACAAUGGGGGGUACAGAGGGCCGCUACCACGCGAGUGGAUGCCAAUCCCAAAAACCUCUCUCAGUUCGGACUGGAGUCUGCAACCCGACUCCACGAAGCUGGAUUCGCUAGUAAUCGCGCAUCAGCCACGGCGCGGUGAAUACGUUCCCGGGCCUUGUACACACCGCCCGUCAAGCCAUGGGAGCCGGGGGUACCUGAAGUGCGUAACCGCGAGGAGCGCCCUAGGGUAAAACUGGUGACUGGGGCU